GAAGUAAAAGUCGUAACAAGGUUUCCGUAGGUGAACCUGCGGAAGGAUCAUUACUGAGCGUGGGUCCCCCGUUGACCCCCCUUUCCCGGGGGGCCGGGGUUGACCCUAGACCUCCCACCCUUGUCGAUUGUACCGUGUUGCUUCGGCGGGCCCGCCAUUGGCCGCCGGGGGGCUCGCGACUUGUGAGCGCCGCCCCCGGGCCCGUGCCCGCCGGAGACCUCCCUCGAAAUGCUACUGUGGUCAGAAAUGCUGUCUGAGUGGGAAUGAUGUGAGAAAUUGAUCAGUCAAAACUUUCAACAAUGGAUCUCUUGGUUCCGGCAUCGAUGAAGAACGCAGCGAAAUGCGAUAAGUAAUGCGAAUUGCAGAAUUCCGUGAGUCAUCGAAUCUUUGAACGCACAUUGCGCCCCCCGGCUUCCCGGGGGGCAUGCCUGUCCGAGCGUCAUUGCCAUCCCCUCAAGCUCCGCUUGGCUGGUUGGGCCGACGUCCACCCGUGGCUUUGUGCCGGGGGGGACGGGCCCGAAAGGCAGUGGCGGCUCCCGGAGGGUGGUCCCUUGGGGCGGUUGAUACAUGGGUUGUCAUCUUCCACCGCUCCGUUGGCCACGCUCCGGGGGUCCAGUCGAACGAUCGGUCUUCCCCUUUAGGUUGACCUCGGAUCAGGUAGGGAUACCCGCUGAACUUAAGCAUAUCAAUAAGCGGAGGAAAAGAAACCAACCGGGAUUGCCUCAGUAACGGCGAGUGAAGCGGCAAGAGCUCAAAUUUGAAAUCUGGCCCCCCCCCCCCGGGGGUCCGAGUUGUAAUUUGGAGAGGAUGCUUCGGGUUCGGUCCCGGUCCAAGUGCCCUGGGACGGGCCGUCGGAGAGGGUGAGAAUCCCGUCUGCGACCGGUGACUGGGCCUGGGUGAAGCUCCCUCGACGAGUCGAGUUGUUUGGGAAUGCAGCUCUAAAUGGGUGGUAAAUUUCAUCUAAAGCUAAAUAUGGGCCGGAGACCGAUAGCGCACAAGUAGAGUGAUCGAAAGAUGAAAAGCACUUUGGAAAGAGAGUCAAACAGCACGUGAAAUUGUUGAAAGGGAAGCGCUUGCGAUCAGACUCGCCCGGGGAGGUUCAGCCGGCACUUGUGCCGGUGCAUUCCUACCCGGGCGGGCCAGCGUCGGUUCGGACGGCCUGUCAAAGGCCCCCGGAAGGUAGCGCCCUUCGGGGCGUCUUAUAGCCGGGGGUGUCAUGCGGCCUGUCCGGACCGAGGAACGCGCCUUUGGGCUCGGACGCUGGCGUAAUGGUCGUAAGCGGCCCGUCUUGAAACACGGACCAAGGAGUCUAACAUCCACGCGAGUGUUCGGGUGUCCAAAACCCGUCCGCGCAGUGAAAGCGAACGGAGGUGGGAACCCCCUUGUGGGGUGCACCAUCGACCGAUCCUGAUGUCUUCGGAUGGAUUUGAGUAGGAGCGUGGCUGUUGGGACCCGAAAGAUGGUGAACUAUGCCUGAAUAGGGCGAAGCCAGAGGAAACUCUGGUGGAGGCUCGCAGCGGUUCUGACGUGCAAAUCGAUCGUCAAAUUUGGGUAUAGGGGCGAAAGACUAAUCGAACCAUCUGGUAGCUGGUUCCUGCCGAAGUUUCCCUCAGGAUAGCAGUAACGAGAUCAGUUUUAUGAGGUAAAGCGAAUGAUUAGAGGCCUUGGGGUUGAAACAACCUUAACCUAUUCUCAAACUUUAAAUAUGUAAGAAGCCCUUGUUGCUUUGUUGAACGUGGGCGCUGGAAUGGAUCGUUACUAGUGGGCCAUUUUUGGUAAGCAGAACUGGCGAUGCGGGAUGAACCGAACGCGAGGUUAAGGUGCCGGAAUGCACGCUCAUCAGACACCACAAAAGGUGUUAGUUCAUCUAGACAGCCCGACGGUGGCCAUGGAAGUCGGAAUCCGCUAAGGAGUGUGUAACAACUCACGGGCCGAAUGAACUAGCCCUGAAAAUGGAUGGCGCUCAAGCGUGCUACCCAUACCUCGCCGUCGGGGUAGCAACGAUGCCCCGACGAGUAGGCAGGCGUGGGGGUCGGUGACGAAGCCUUGGGAGUGAUCCUGGGUGGAACGGCCCCUA
rnacentral:rRNA from 1 species